rnacentral:rRNA from 1 species
UACGUAGGGGACGAGCGUUGUCCGGAUUCAUUGGGCGUAAAGCGCGCGUAGGCGGCUCGGAAAGUCGGUCGUGAAAUGCCGGGGCUCAACCCCGGGACUGCGUCCGAUACUUCCGGGCUGGAGGUAGGUAGGGGAGAUCGGAAUUCCAGGUGUAGCGGUGAAAUGCGUAGAUAUCUGGAGGAACACCGGUGGCGAAGGCGGCAUUCUGGACCGGCAUUGACGCUGAGGAGCGAAAGCCAGGGGAGCAAACGGG